rnacentral:rRNA from 1 species
CCUACGGGGGGCUGCAGUGGGGAAUAUUGGACAAUGGGGGGAACCCUGAUCCAGCCAUGCCGCGUGUGUGAAGAAGGCCCUCGGGUUGUAAAGCACUUUCAGUGAGGAAGAACGCCUGGUGGUUAAUACCCAUCAGGAAAGACAUCACUCACAGAAGAAGCACCGGCUAACUCCGUGCCAGCAGCCGCGGUAAUACGGAGGGUGCGAGCGUUAAUCGGAAUUACUGGGCGUAAAGCGCGCGUAGGUGGCUUGAUAAGCCGGUUGUGAAAGCCCCGGGCUCAACCUGGGAACGGCAUCCGGAACUGUCAAGCUAGAGUGCAGGAGAGGAAGGUAGAAUUCCCGGUGUAGCGGUGAAAUGCGUAGAGAUCGGGAGGAAUACCAGUGGCGAAGGCGGCCUUCUGGACUGACACUGACACUGAGGUGCGAAAGCGUCGGUAGCAAACAGGAUUAGAUACCCCAGUAGUC